GACAGAGGGUGCAAACGUUGUUCGGAAUUACUGGGCGUAAAGCGAGUGUAGGCGGUCCGAUAAGUCGGGUGUGAAAGCCCUGGGCUCAACCCAGGAAGUGCACUCGAAACUGCCGGGCUAGAGUAUCGGAGAGGUUGGUGGAAUUCUCGGUGUAGAGGUGAAAUGCGUAGAUAUCGGGAGGAACACCAGUGGCGAAAGCGGCUACCUGGCCCAUUCUUGACGCUGAGGCGCGAAAGCUAGGGGAGCAAACGGG
rnacentral:rRNA from 1 species